rnacentral:sRNA from 1 species
AACCUGUCCACUGGCCUUCUCCAGGAAGUUCCUUCUAGACCUGGGGACCUGUGCCCGAGGACCUUAGACUGAUGGGUGCCCAGCUCUGCUUCGAGGCCAACGCCAAGGCGCCCCGAGAGGCACUUCGCUUCCAUGCCGAGGCCAAGGGCGCACAGGUGCGUCUGGACACGCGUGGCUGCAUCGCGCACAGGCGCACCACGUUCCACGACGGCAUCGUGUUCAGCCAGCGGCCGGUGCGCCUGGGCGAGCGUGUGGCGCUGCGAGUGCUGCGGGAGGAGAGCGGCUGGUGCGGCGGCCUCCGCGUGGGCUUCACGCGCCUGGACCCCGCGUGCGUGUCCGUGCCCAGCCUGCCGCCCUUCGUGUGCCCCGACCUGGAGGAGCAGAGCCCGACGUGGGCGGCCGUGCUGCCUGAGGGCUGCGCGCUCACUGGGGACGUGGUCCGCUUCUGGGUGGACCGCCGCGGCCGCCUCUUCGCCAAGGUCAACGCCGGCUGCCGGCUCCUGCUGCGUGAGGGCGUGCCCGUCGGCGCCCCGCUCUGGGCCGUGAUGGACGUGUACGGGACCACUAAGGCCAUCGAGCUGCUGGGUGAGGCGACCAUGGGGACCCCGCAGGGGAGGUGGGGAGAUGGGGGCUCCAGUGGCACCCCACAACGAUCCAGAGCCACAGGAAGAACGUUCACAUUCAGUUAUUCCAUCAGCCCCUGCCCAGUGUUAGCUGUGAAGAUGGGCACUGGAGACGCCAGAUAGACAAGGCUCAGUCGUAGGGAGGGCAGUCUUGUCCCUAAAGAAUGAUAAGCAGAUAGGACCAGCACUCACACCAUCUGUUACUCAAACACCUGUUAGAGUGCCCAUCUCCUUUUACAAAGGAAGAAACAUUUGGGCUGGCUUUGCAGCCUAAAUAGGAGUUCACUAGAUACAAAGGUGGCAAGCAAAGGGAACACACAGGUGAGGCUAGAGGUGCGCAUGGAGAGUGCCUGCAGGGAGAAAGCUGAGCCUCUCAGUCAGUGGGGGGGAAAAGAGAGCCAUCCCUUUAGCGACCCCA